GAUGAACGCUGGCGGUAUGCCUAACACAUGCAAGUCGUACGAGAGUUUUUAACUCUAGUGGCGGACGGGUGAGUAACACGUGAGAAUUUGCCUUUAGGAGGGGGAUAACAAUUGGAAACGAAUGCUAAUACCCCAUAUGCUUUCGAGUGAAAUGGAUUUUAUCCGCCUAGAGAGAAGCUCGCGGCUGAUUAGCUUGUUGGUAAGGUAAGAGCUUACCAAGGCGACGAUCAGUAUCUGGUUUGAGAGGACGAUCAGACACACUGGAACUGAGACACGGUCCAGACUCCUACGGGAGGCAGCAGUGGGGAAUUUUCCGCAAUGGGCGAAAGCCUGACGGAGCAAUACCGCGUGAGGGAAGAAUGCCUAUGGGUUGUAAACCUCUUUUUUCAGGGAGGAAUAAAAUGACGUGUACCUGAAGAAUAAGCAUCGGCUAACUCCGUG
rnacentral:rRNA from 1 species